rnacentral:lncRNA from 1 species
CGUAACACACCAAAGAAAACAAACAGCCAGACCGUUACUCUCGGCAGCUUUGUGGGAAAUUGGAACGACAUAAAGAAACCCACUUUCAAAUCAACAACUAAAACCAGCAGCAGAGAAAGAAAAAACAAAAACAUUUCUCAAAAAAUAAAACCCAGCACAUUCAAUCCCUCAGAUCUGAGAAACCAGUCCCGAGAGAUCCCUAGCCAAGUGAACCUUUGCCGCCGCUGGUAAAUCCUCCACCCAAAACCUGUAUUCCGGUAUCGACAUCCUUUCUUUUACUAACAUAUGAGCCACCAUAUUUGCUCAUCUAUCAACAUGGUGAAAGGAGAUGUGCUGAAAAGAGCUUGCCUUUAUCUUUAUUUCUUCAAUGUAAGUCUCCAUAUCUGAAAAAUCUGGUAGUACUUGGUUUAUUUUGACAAUCAUGGUCCUAGAAUCACCCUCUAUUUGAACAUGAGUAAAACCCAUUUCCCUUGCGAAAUCCAAAGCCUAGAGACAAGCUAUAGCUUCUGCUGUAAAAGAGUCAGAGACAAAUUUAUUAAAAUAGAUCCGCAUCCCAUAACCAAACCUCUACUAUUCCUGAUAACAAAACCAGAAUAUGAAUGAUGGAGGAUUGUUUUGAACGCAGCAUCAAAAUUCACCUUAACAAAAGGUUCUUGAGGGGGUUUCCAUGUAAAGUUCAUUGCAUUCACCGGAGCAGGUAUUUUAUCUUUUAACUCCCUCAUUUCCUUUAUAAUACUGAAAAUAAUAGAGCAAAUAUCUUGGACUGAUUAUCGCUUUCCUUCCGUUGUGCGCUUAUUACGGGCUUGCCAGAGUGCCCAGGCCGUGGUUGCAGCAAUUUCACCAAAUUCAUGCCUUCUGUCUUGAAAAACCAAAUUAAGCCAGGUAGAGAAAUCCAUAUUUUCAUCAAAAUUUGACCAGUCAACACCGAUUGAUCGCCAAACAUUUUUUACAGGGCCACACAUCAGAAGAGUAUGCAUAAAAUUCUCAAGGACCUCUCAACAGCUAGGACAAAUUGGGGAAGAACUUAUUCUUUUAUUGUAGAGGUUAAAUGCAGUAGGAAUAUACUUAUAUGUAAAUCGCCAAAUAGCGAUUUUGAUUUUGGGAGGAAGAUUUAAACCCCAAAUCUUCUUGUAAAUUCCUGUAGAGUCAGUAUUCGUGGUAUCAUUAAUAUGCGAUUCAACAAGAUAGCUGUAACCAUUACGUAUCGUAUAUGCCAGAGUUAUCUGCGGACCACACCAUUUUAUCUUCAUGAGUGUAAACUGAAAGAGGAAUACAACAGAUUGCAUGAACUUCCAUAAGGGUAAAAUGAUUGCUAAUAAAAUCCACUUUCCAGGUCUUAUUUGAUUGAUUAAUAAGCUUUGACAUUUUAUCAAUCCCAUUGUUUGCAGAAGUAGCUUGAAUUUUCCCCCCGCCCAAUGGGGCAGCCAACAAUCUUGCAAAACUGAAAUUUAGGAACCCGAUCCUACCCUCCAACUAAUACCAUCUUCUAAGACUUUUCGGGCCACAUAUAUACUUUUCCAGGAAUACAAUGAGUUAUUGCUUAAAGUGGCAUUCAAAACGAGGUAUGAGGGUAGUACUUUGCUUUAUAAAUACGUCGAAAUAACGAAUCUAGAUUAAUAACUAACAUCCAACCUUGUUUAGCUAAAAGCGUAAUGAUAAACUUGCCAAGAUCCCUGAAACCCAUUCCUCCACAAUUUUUAGGAAUACUAAGACUACCCCAAUUACACCAAUGCAUUCUUUUAUGAGCCGAGCUUUUUUGCCACUGGAAACGACUCAUAAUACUCUCAAGUUUCGUACAAAACGUCUUUGGGAGCAAGAAACAAGACAUCGAAUAAGUAGGAAUUGCUUGAAGGACUGCUUUAAUGAAGACUUCUUUUCCUCUUUGAGAUAGUAAUCUAGCCCCCCAGCUCUGAACUUUCAUUCUCAUUCUAUCAUAAAUAUGUUGAAAAACAUCAUUCUUUCUUCUCCCAGCCAUCAUAGGAAGACCCAAAUAUCUUUUCAUACACAACAAACGACAAACCCCUAAAAUCUGUACUAAUUGAUUACAAGAAUUAUCAGAGACAUUGAAGCUAAAGAAAAUUUGUAACUUGUCAAGAUUUAUCUUCU